GACGAACGCUGGCGGCGUGCCUAACACAUGCAAGUCGAGCGAUGAAGUUUCCUUCGGGAAAUGGAUUAGCGGCGGACGGGUGAGUAACACGUGGGUAACCUGCCUCAUAGAGGGGAAUAGCCUCCCGAAAGGGAGAUUAAUACCGCAUAAUAUUAUAGUUUCGCAUGAGACAGUAAUUAAAGGAGCAAUCCGCUAUGAGAUGGACCCGCGGCGCAUUAGCUAGUUGGUGAGGUAACGGCUCACCAAGGCGACGAUGCGUAGCCGACCUGAGAGGGUGAUCGGCCACAUUGGGACUGAGACACGGCCCAGACUCCUACGGGAGGCAGCAGUGGGGAAUAUUGCACAAUGGGGGAAACCCUGAUGCAGCAACGCCGCGUGAGUGAUGACGGUCUUCGGAUUGUAAAGCUCUGUCUUUGGGGACGAUAAUGACGGUACCCAAGGAGGAAGCCACGGCUAACUACGUGCCAGCCGCCGCAGUAAUAC
rnacentral:rRNA from 1 species